rnacentral:misc_RNA from 1 species
GAUUAAGAACGUAGCAAAAUGCGAUAAGUAAUGUGAAUUGCAGAAUUCAGUGAAUCAUCGAAUCUUUGAACGCACAUUGCGCCCGCUGGUAUUCCGGCGGGCAUGCCUGUUCGAGCGUCAUUUCAACCCUCAAGCCCCCGGGUUUGGUGUUGGGGAUCGGCUCUGCCCUUCUGGGCGGUGCCGCCCCCGAAAUACAUUGGCGGUCUCGCUGCAGCCUCCAUUGCGUAGUAGCUAACACCUCGCAACUGGAACGCGGCGCGGCCAUGCCGUAAAACCCCAACUUCUGAAUGUUGACCUCGGAUCAGGUAGGAAUACCCGCUGAACUUAAGCAUAUCAAAAGCGGAGGA